CCCGCCUCCCCGCCUGUGGCCAGCACCAGACCCUGCGGCGCGGAGAGAAAGGUCAUAAAUGAGGGGAGAGAGGAAGAAGGGUGGAGAGGAAUAAGAACCCAGGAAAACAACUGAUGGCACAUUGGGAGAUAUAAACCAAAGCUCUCACUUAAAAGCAAACUGAGCCAAGGAGCAGCUAAGCUCGUGUGCCACAACUAGAGAAAGCAACAGGCGGAACGAAGAGCUUCACAACCAAAAAUAAAUAAAAUUAUUUAAAGAAAUAAAAAAGAAAAUUGAGAGUCAGAAAGCUUGAGCAUCAAUUUAACUAUUAGAAUCUGAUAUUAGCCACAAAGUGCUUUAUGAAAUGCUUUACGUGUUUAAAAAGAUUGUUAUCCAUUCAUGGUGAUGGUGAUGUAGAGGCUAAGUCAUG